ensembl:lncRNA
CUUUCCUGAGUCUUUGGUGAAAAGAAUGGUCGCUUACUGAGCAUCCAUGUUGGCAUAGUUGGAAGAAGUAGGAUUGUGUUCCUCUUGUAUGAAGAAAUACAGAUGUAAAAAAUGAUUCAAAGAGGAGUGUCAAAUUGCAGGACUGGAGGAAAGAAGUCAUUUGAGGUUUACAUGGAACGUCUGUUAUUUCAGACCUGGGACAGGGUUACCAAGUAGUUCACUCUUCACAAUGCCCUGUGCUUAAUUAGCGUGCCCACAAAGAGUGUUUCUGAUAAGCACAUGCUUCUGGGUGUAGCGUGAGAAGCUACACCGUGUAUUACUUAUUUCAAAAUAUGUUGGUAUUGAUCAUGAAUUGCACAAUUUGUUGUUUGAUACAAAGAAGCCUUGAUUCUCUGUAGAAGAAAACCAUGCUGUCUGAAGAAGCGGUGAUACUGUACUCUGAAUUUGAUGUCAUGACUUCAUAGUUGUACUUGAAAAAUCUAAACAGCUGCGUUAGGGGGAGAAGCACAGAUGUGUACAGCCUACGUUUUCUGCCUGGAAGCUGCCUUUUAAUAGCUGACUAGCCACAAAUGUGUAAUUUAUCCUUAAAAUCUGUAGUCAAUUCUGUUUGGACCCCCAAGGUUGGUUUAUUUAUUUAUUCCAAUGAGCAAACUUGUUUUAACUUUGAUAAUUUUGAUAUAAUUGCAUCUGUUCAGAGCUAAUCCAGUGAAGGUAUCUUUGCUGUGAAAUGACACAUGCUAAAACAAUGCUGAGAGCCCCAUUGGCAUGCUCAUGGUGAACCUGUCAGCAAAGGGCUUCAAACCUGGUUUUGGUCUCAAGGUAAAUUUGUGUGGUGCUUUGUGUGUAUUUAAUUGCAGAGUUCAGUUCAGUGUACUUUCUUGACCUGAAGAAGUAUGCCCACGGGAUACACAAAGAUGCCAAAAGACAAACGGCUUAACUUCCACUGUUACCAUUAAUCCCCAGUAAUUUAUUUUUUUUUACUUUCCUAAAUUGUCUUUUCUGGUAUUUGUACUUUUUCGGUUUGUUCUUAGCUGUGUGUGCUUCAAGUUCCAUUUCAGCUCUUGUUGCUGACAGUCUGCCUUGGUGGAAACUGGGAGAGGGCGGGUAGGAUUCAUGGCGGCUGAAUGUGGUGCCUCAUAGAAAGUAAUUGGGAAUUGCAAGAAACACGUGAGAUAUUCAGGAAUAUUUUUUUAUUGUACUCCUUUUGGUUCUAAUUAAGUGUUCCUAUGGUUUGUCGUUGAAAGUGAGAGUUUUCAAGAAGGAUCUCUCGCGGUUGAAUAUAAUCCUGUGGAAUCUCUUUGCAAGAGUGAGAAAACGAACUGUGAUUAAAUGUACAGGUGCUGAGGUGUUACAGACCAGCAGAUUGCUGUCAUACCAAGCAGGAUGUUAUACACAACCAUUAAAAAGAAACAAAUGUGCAAUAUUGAGAAAGGAUUAAAUCCGGUAUUGACAAAGGAAGCAGCUGGCACACAGUUCUCAGUGAAGGAGGAGGUUGGUUUAUCUUUGCCAAGUGAAAAUGCCUCAAGUCUGUGCUGUGCACCAGUGACUACAAAUGGUAGCGUUUCAAGCCAAGUAGGUUAUUCCUGAAGGGCCUGAUGUGAGCUGGCCUUUGUGUGGGCACGUGCAAGUGCUCCGAGCAUCCUUGUGCUGCCCCAUCCCUCUCUUCGCAGUGUGCUCAGGUUUGAGGGGAGAUCUGGUGUUUGGGCUCUGCCCAAAGGGAUGAGCUCAGUGCGGGAGACUGAGGUUGAUAUUACUUGCCCGUUCUGUGCAUUCUGAUGUUUUAGACUUCCAAAUCAUUUUUGACAAGCAGUUUCAGCUUGGAGAUUUAAUAGAUAUAUAAAUCGAAUGAUACGGUCCAGGAAAAUGGUUUGGUUUUUAUUUAGCCUGUAGGUAAUGCUGAUAAAGGUGAUUCUUUGUUAUUUUGAGGGGGAAAACCCAGUUGGGUGAGUGUUUAAGCUUUUAAAUAUGUGUGCCCUACGAGAUUCAGAACUUGAGAUUAUACAUUCUGAUAAAGU